GGGGAUAAGCGGAAGAAAUUCCGUCUAAUACCGCGUAAUAACUCCGAGAGGCAUCUCCUGGGGUUUAAAGGGUAACACCGGCUACGGAUGGCCAUGCGGCGCAUUAGCUAGUUGGCGGGGUAACGGCCCACCAAGGCGACGAUACGUAGGGGUUCUGAGAGGAAGGUCCCCCACACUGGUACUGAGACACGGACCAGACUCCUACGGGAGGCAGCAGUGAGGAAUAUUGGUCAAUGGGCGCGAGCCUGAACCAGCCAAGUCGCGUGAGGGAAGACGGUCCUAUGGAUUGUAAACCUCUUUUGUCGGGGAGCAAAAGACGCCACGCGUGGCGUUCCGAGAGUACCCGAAGAAAAAGCAUCGGCUAACUCCGUGCCAGCAGCCGCGGUAAUACGGAGGAUGCGAGCGUUAUCCGGAUUUAUUGGGUUUAAAGGGUGCGCAGGCGGAAGAUCAAGUCAGCGGUAAAAUUGAGAGGCUCAACCUCUUCGAGCCGUUGAAACUGGUUUUCUUGAGUGAGCGAGAAGUAUGCGGAAUGCGUGGUGUAGCGGUGAAAUGCAUAGAUAUCACGCAGAACUCCGAUUGCGAAGGCAGCAUACCGGCGCUCAACUGACGCUCAUGCACGAAAGUGUGGGUAUCGAACAGGAUUAGAUACCCUGGUAGUCCACACAGUAAACGAUGAA
rnacentral:rRNA from 1 species